GAUCCGAUGGCCAAGUGGUUAAAGCGUCAGCCUCGGAUGCGGAAGGUUGCGGAUUCGAACCCGGCUGAGACAUACCA